AUUGAACGCUGGCGGCAGGCCUAACACAUGCAAGUCGAGCGGAUGAAGGGAGCUUGCUCCUGGAUUCAGCGGCGGACGGGUGAGUAAUGCCUAGGAAUCUGCCUGGUAGUGGGGGAUAACGUCCGGAAACGGGCGCUAAUACCGCAUACGUCCUGAGGGAGAAAGUGGGGGAUCUUCGGACCUCACGCUAUCAGAUGAGCCUAGGUCGGAUUAGCUAGUUGGUGGGGUAAAGGCCUACCAAGGCGACGAUCCGUAACUGGUCUGAGAGGAUGAUCAGUCACACUGAAACUAGGACACGGUCCAGCCUCCUACGGGAGGCAGCGGGGGGGAAUAUUGGACAAUGGGCGAAAGCCUGAUCCAGCCAUGCCGCGGGUGUGAAGAGGGUCUUCGGAUUGUAAAGCACUUUAGGUUGGGAGGAAGGGCAGUAAGUUAAUACCUGUCUGUUUGGACGUUACCAACAGAAUAAGCACCGGCUAACUUCGU
rnacentral:rRNA from 1 species